CGGAUUUUAUGCGGUAACUGAUAC
rnacentral:siRNA from 1 species